AACGCUAGCUACAGGCUUAACACAUGCAAGUUGAGGGGCAGCAUGGUCUUAGCUUGCUAAGGCCGAUGGCGACCGGCGCACGGGUGAGUAACACGUAUCCAACCUGCCGUCUACUCUUGGACAGCCUUCUGAAAGGAAGAUUAAUACAAGAUGGCAUCAUGAGUCCGCAUGUUCACAUGAUUAAAGGUAUUCCGGUAGACGAUGGGGAUGCGUUCCAUUAGAUAGUAGGCGGGGUAACGGCCCACCUAGUCUUCGAUGGGUAGGGGUUCUGAGAGGAAGGUCCCCCACAUUGGAACUGAGACACGGUCCAAACUCCUACGGGAGGCAGCAGUGAGGAAUAUUGGUCAAUGGGCGAGAGCCUGAACCAGCCAAGUAGCGUGAAGGAUGACUGCCCUAUGGGUUGUAAACUUCUUUUAUAAAGGAAUAAAGUCGGGUAUGUAUACCCGUUUGCAUGUACUUUAUGAAUAAGGAUCGGCUAACUCCGUGCCAGCAGCCGCGGUAAUACGGAGGAUCCGAGCGUUAUCCGGAUUUAUUGGGUUUAAAGGGAGCGUAGAUGGAUGUUUAAGUCAGUUGUGAAAGUUUGCGGCUCAACCGUAAAAUUGCAGUUGAUACUGGAUAUCUUGAGUGCAGUUGAGGCAGGCGGAAUUCGUGGUGUAGCGGUGAAAUGCUUAGAUAUCACGAAGAACUCCGAUUG
rnacentral:rRNA from 1 species